AGAUCUGUACUUAGUGUCUUUUUUGUUGUUGGGAUGUACAGGUAUACAUUAUCGUCCAAUCUGUAUUUUUGUUUAUAAGUAUUUCUAAAUGUAUCCAUUUGAUGAGUUAAGUCAAAUAACUUUUAUUGUUCGUUCGCAUGCUGUACUGUUACUGCACUGUCCCAGGUAAGGUAAACGGUUGUCAUCCAGCUAACAUGAUUAACCGCACUAUAUUCUGUAUGCAUAUGCACG
rnacentral:lncRNA from 1 species